GACAGAGGUGCCGAGCGUUAGGCGGAAUCACUGGGCGUAAAGCGUGUGUAGGCGGGUGCCUAAGUACCUUGUGAAAUCCCCCGGCUCAACCGGGGAACGGCUGGGUAUACUGGGUGCCUUGGGUCAUCUAGGGGCUGCCGGAACAAAUGGUGGAGCGGUGAAAUGCGUAGAUAUCAUUUGGAACGCCAACGGCGAAAGCAGGCAGCUGGGGAUGCACCGACGCUGAGACACGAAGCCAGGGGAGCGAACGGG
rnacentral:rRNA from 1 species